rnacentral:rRNA from 1 species
CCUACGGGAGGCAGCAGUCGAGAAUCAUUCACAAUGGGGGAAACCCUGAUGGUGCGACGCCGCGUGGGGGAAUGAAGGUCUUCGGAUUGUAAACCCCUGUCAUGUGGGAGCAAAUUAAAAAGAUAGUACCACAAGAGGAAGAGACGGCUAACUCUGUGCAAGCAGCCGCGGUAAUACAGAGGUCUCAAGCGUUGUUCGGAAUCACUGGGCGUAAGGCGUGCGUAGGCUGUUUCGUAAGUCGUGUGUGAAAGGCGCGGGCUCAACCCGCGGACGGCACAUGAUACUGCGAGACUUGAGUAAUGGAGGGGGAACCGGAAUUCUCGGUGUAGCAGUGAAAUGCGUAGAUAUCGAGAGGAACACUCGGGGCGAAGGCGGGUUCCUGGACAUUAACUGACGCUGAGGCACGAAGGCCAGGGGAGCGAAAGGGAUUAGAUACCCUAGUAGUC